ACUUUCUUUUAAGAGGCUUCUUCUGAGACGUGACCUUGACCAUGACCUCCUCCUGGUCAGUCUGGAGAAGCCUGAAGAAAGCCUGCAGGUCAGGUUUUUGCUGCAAAGACCAGAAAGCAGCUAAGAGCUCUCAUCUUUUCCAAAUCUUCUGCGAAUCAGCCUGGAUCCAUCAGCCUGCCCAGCAGCCAGAGGAGGGAGGCCAGUCCUGGACUCCCCUCAACCCUGGGAUUCCAACACUCAGAUCACCCUGGCCUGGACAAUGGGACAGUGGGAGGAGCCACAUUCUCCUUGGAAG
rnacentral:lncRNA from 1 species